rnacentral:rRNA from 1 species
GACAGAGGGUGCAAACGUUGUUCGGAAUUACUGGGCGUAAAGCGCACGUAGGCGGCGCCGUAAGUCAGGGGUGAAAUCCCGGAGCUCAACUCCGGAACUGCCCUUGAAACUGCAGUGCUAGAAUCUUGGAGAGGCGAGUGGAAUUCCGAGUGUAGAGGUGAAAUUCGUAGAUAUUCGGAAGAACACCAGUGGCGAAGGCGACUCGCUGGACAAGUAUUGACGCUGAGGUGCGAAAGCGUGGGGAGCAAACAGG